UACGAAGGGGGCUAGCGUUGCUCGGAAUCACUGGGCGUAAAGCGCACGUAGGCGGCUUACUAAGUCAGGGGUGAAAUCCUGGAGCUCAACUCCAGAACUGCCUUUGAUACCGGUGAGCUUGAGUCCGGAAGAGGUGAGUGGAACUGCGAGUGUAGAGGUGAAAUUCGUAGAUAUUCGCAAGAACACCAGUGGUGAAGGCGGCUCACUGGUCCGGUACUGACGCUGAGGUGCGAAAGCGUGGGGAGCAAACAGG
rnacentral:rRNA from 1 species